rnacentral:rRNA from 1 species
GGUCCAGACUCCUACGGGAGGCAGCAGUGGGGGAUAUUGCACAAUGGGGGGAACCCUGAUGCAGCGACGCCGCGUGGGUGAAGGAGCGUUUCGGCGCGUAAAGCCCUAUCGGCAGGGAAGAAGGAGGACGGUACCUGACUAAGAAGCCCCGGCUAACUACGUGCCAGCAGCCGCGGUAAUACGGAGGAUGCGAGCGUUAUCCGGAUUUACUGGGUGUAAAGGGCGUGUAGGCGGGAAAGCAAGUCAGAUGUGAAAACCACGGGCUCAACCUGUGGCCUGCAUUUGAAACUGUAGUUCUUGAGUACUGGAGAGGCAGACGGAAUUCCUAGUGUAGCGGUGAAAUGCGUAGAUAUCAGGAGGAACACCGGCGGCGAAGGCGGCCUGCUGGACCGCGACUGACGUUGAGGCUCGAAAGCGUGGGGAGCGAACAGGAUUAGAUACCCUUGUA